rnacentral:rRNA from 1 species
AUAAACGCUGGUGGCGUGCAUUAUGCAUGCAAGUCGAACGGUGCCCGCAAGGGUACAGUGGCAAACGGGUGAGUAACACAUAAGUAACCUACCCUUAAGUGGGGGAUAACUUGCCGAAAGGCAGGCUAAUACCGCAUGUUCUGGUAAGCGUUAGCUUAUCAGCAAAGCUUUUGCGCUUGAGGAGGGGCUUGCGUCUGAUUAGAUAGUUGGCAGGGUAAUGGCCUACCAAGUCGAUGAUCAGUAGCUGGUCUGAGAGGACAACCAGCCAGACUGGGACUGAGAUACGGCCCUGACUCCUACGGGAGGCAGCAGCAAGGAAUUUUGCGCAAUGGGCGAAAGCCUGACGCAGCGACGCCGCGUGGGGGAUGACGGCCUUCGGGUUGUAAACCCCUUUUCAUGAGGAAGAAAUAUGACGGUACUCGUGGAAUAAGUCUUGGCUAACUACGU